ACUCAGGUGGCCUUGUGGUUAGAGCGUCCGCCUUGGAUGCGGGAGGUCGUGGGUUUCAUCCGCGGCUGAGUC